UGGAAGAUGGAGCAAGCUCGUUUCUUGAUGCUCCAGAGGGGGAGGACCUGAACCAACGGAUUCAAAUGGCAAGAAAGGAAAUCCUGACCAAACAUUAGGAAGAACUUUAUGAGGGCAGGAGCUGUUCGACAGUGGAAGGGACGAAGAAGAAGAAGAGGAGGAGUUUGGAUUUGAUAUCCCGCUUUAUCACUACCCUAAGGAGUUUCAAAGCGGCUAACAUUCUCCUUUUCCUUCCUCCCCCACAACAAACACUCUGUGAGGUGAGUGGGGCUGAGAGACUUCAGAGAAGUGUGACUAGCCCAAGGUCACCCAGCAGCUGCAUGUGGAGGAGCGGGGAAGCAAACCCGGUUCACCAGAUUACGAGUCUACCGCUCUUAACCACUACACCACACGACCUCGGAAUGUGGUGGAAUCUCCUUCAUUGGAGGUUUCCAAACAGAGCUUGGACAGCCAUCUAUCAGGGAUUCUUGAGCUGUUAUUCCAGCAUUGCAGGUGAUUCUUGGGGUCUCUCUGAACCCCACAAAUCUGUGAUUCUGUGAAAUGGGUCAAUUUUCACGAGGGCUGUUUAUUUUUUAUUGCAAACUGGUGUAGAAAUGCAGUGAAUUGAACUUUAGAAUUCCAGAAUUGGAAGGAAUUCCUGAGGACCAUCUCGUCCAACCCCCUGCAAUGCAGGGAUAUGCAACCGUCUCAUACAAGGAUCGAACCUGCAACCUUGACACUAUCAGCACCACGCUCUAACCAACUAAGCUAUCCAGGCCUUUGGAUAUUGUUAACCUGGCCCUUGAGAGUUAAAGGUAUUUUGUUUUGUGGGACACAUGUCUUUGGCUGGCUUUAUACCAUCCUGUUCCCACUUGGAACAGUUUUACCUGUUUUAUAAUUGCAAUGGCUUUUAUCUGUUUUUAUAAUUGUAUAUUUUAUUGCUGUUACUCCUCCUGGGACUUCCUGGGGAAGGGGAAGAAAGAAGUCUUAGAAACAACUAAGGCUGCAUUCACACCAUAUGCUUAAAGCACACCCCGAGCGCUGGUAAGGCACAUAACUUCCCCCAAAGAUUCUUGGGAACUGUAGUUUAUUAAGGGUGCUCUGUAUAAGGGCAAACUAUGGUUCCCAGGAUUCUUUGCGGGAAUCUAUGUACUUUAAAUGUGUAAGUGGAUAGGCAGCCUAAAUGAGAUUGGAAAAAUUAGAAAGCGAGAGAAACUGAAAUGGGUAGAUUCACCCCUUCUUAUGCCACCAGCAUACAAAAAGGCAAUAAUUGGAAGGGGUUCAGGGUGAGCGCUAGCCUUCCUUUGCCCUGGGGAGGCCCACCACGUGCAGAGAGACCUUUUCCAAAAUAGUUCUCCAAAGCCAACCUAAGAUUGCUUGGCAUCGUGCCCCCUUGCUCUCUGCACCCCCCCCCCCAUCGCCUUGGCUCUGGGAACACAGAACACUCUAUUCCUCGGCUCUCCGGCUUCGAGAAUUUUCUGCGGUGAUGAAUGAGACUUGGAAGCCGUCCCAGAGCUGUCGCCCGAGCCUCCGAGCUGCAGCUAAUUGAGUCAGAUCUGCUCCGCCAAUGCAGCAGGAUUAAUCGGCUCCGCUUCUGAGGCCGUUGCUGGGAGGAAGCGAAGCAGGGAUGGGUGGGUGCAGGGGGGUGAUGGGGGUGGCUCAGAAGUAGAAGAGAGAAUAUGGGCAGUUAGCAUUGGGGAUUGUUUCAUAGACGAGGUGGGAUUUAUCGAGCUGCAUUGGCGGUUUUUGAUAAUGUUAACCAUGCAAUGGCACAUAGCAACUGGUUGUUUGAUGGCUGACAUGCAAUGGCCUGCAGUAUCUGCCUAGGCUUGAUGACCGAUGACAUUGAAUGCAUGGCUGUGUUUGAUGGCUGACGUGCAAAGGAAUAUAGCAUCUAUUGGUACCUGUGUUUUUGUAGGUGGAGGUUGUGCUGCACUAUGCUCCAGAGAGUGGUCCAAAAGACAGGGAGGGGUCAGCUCUAUGGAGCAGGAUCACAGUGAUCAGAAGAUAAGAAGAGCCUGUUGGAUCAGGCCCAUAGCUCGUCUAAUUCAGCAUCCUGUUCUCACAGGGUGACCCUGGGAAGCCUGCAAAAAGGAUCUGAGUGCAACGACCCUCUCCUCACUUGCGAUUCCCAACAACUGGUAUUCAGAGACAUACUGCCUAUGGCAGUGGAGGAAUGUCAGGCUUCAGGGACUCAGUUUCCUUCCUCCCACCCCACCUUUGGCAGUAGAUAAGCAGAACAAAGCGAAAGGAGUCUCUUACCAGCGAGAGAAAACAAAGAAUCCAUUCCUCGGAAUGGAGGUGCUCCCAAUUAAGGGUUCCACCCACUUCACCCCUAGUCACCCAUGUCACUUCUGCGUCUUGCAACCUGAUCUCACAACCACUGUGCUUUCUGUGCUGCCACCUUAUCUGCUCUUCAUGACCUUGGGCUGAGCCGAUGGAGGCUUUCCAGUGAAAGAGAUUCUGUUAACUCUCACUCUCCCAGUUCUUCUUCUCCUAGCUGUUCAUCACCCAGUUCUUCCCAACUUCGGUCUUCUGAACUAUGUCCCUCUGCAAACCACUGUUCCAAAUCUAUACUGUCCUCCUGCUCCUGGGAAGAUUCAGGAUCCAGAUCCAGAGCAUGGGGAGGGGGAGACUCCCACCAUUCCUCAUCUGUGCCGCCCUCCUCCGCACAGUCCCUGACAAGGAAGAACAAUGGAGGUCGCUUUAAGACAAAUAUGCAGUUCAUACAAAUAUGUACAUUGACAUUCACACUGUCACCAGAUUAACAAGAACAGCAAGAAUUUUCGUCCAUUAAUGAAUGAGUUAGUCAAUCAAAUUUGCAUAGGAGAGAACCCAAUUGCUCCAAAUUGCUCCAAAGAAUAAAAGGAGUACAUUUUAUUGUUGGACGUUACUUUUUAAGUAGGGUUUCCCAAACUUUGGACUACAAUUCCCAUCAUCCCUGACCCCUGGUGCUGCUAGCAAGCGAUGAUGGGAGUUGUAGUCCAAAAAGCAGUUCUAAAGUAUUUCAGAAGGUGUUGUUGUAGAAGAGGUAUCUUCUCUUUUCUCUCACCCAGGAUUGAUUUAACAAUCAAUUCUUCCUGGGAAAUUCUGGGAAUUUAGGGGCUUGCUAACAACUUUCAGCACUUUUAAUGAACUACAGUCCCCAAGGAUUCUCUGGAGGGGAGCCUCAGCUGUUUAACAUGAUGUGAUUGUGGUUUAAAUGUUUAUUUAUUACAUUUAUAUACUCUUUUCCCCUCCUCAAUUUAUCCUCACAACAGCCCUGUGAGGGAGGUUGGGCUGAGAGACAGUGGCUGCCCCUCACGGUCACCCAGUGAGCUUCAUGGCUGAGUGGGGACUCGAACCCUGAUCUCUCCAGCUCUCUUACCAUUGCACCACAUUUUCAUAUACGACAGCAGCCAAACUGAAAUGAAAGAAACCCUCAGGUCCAAGAUGCAUACUUACUUGGGAAGUGAAUCCAAUUGUGCACAGUAAGAUUUACUCCCCAGCAGCUGAGUGCAGGAUUGCAGCCUAAGCCUGGGACCCUAUAAUAAUAAUUUAUUACUUGCACCCUGCCCAUCUGACUAGGUUGCCUCAGACACCCUGAGCAGCUUAUACCUGCGAAAAAGUCCUACUGAACUACAGAUGGAGGAGAAAUUUGACUCAGUUCACAUUUAAAGGCGAACCUGCCUAAUUUGGCACUUCCUGAAACAACAUGCAAACUGAAACACAGCCAUCCUUUGAGAUUUGCACUUCUCUGAAUUUUCACAAUUAUCCAGCCGAGUACAGUGGUACCUCGGAUUAAGAACUUAAUUCGUUCUGGAAGUGUUCUUAACCUGGGAUACCACUUUAGCUAAUGGGGCCUCCCGCUGCUGCCAUGCCGCCGCUGCGCAAUUUCUGUUCUCAUUCUGAAGCUAAGUUCUUAACCUGAAGUACUAUUUCUGGGUUAGCGGAGUCUGUAACCUGAAGCGUCUGUAACCUGAAGUGGUUACAGGGAUCAUUGUAAUGUAUACCAAAAAUGCACAUAGCAGGGUAAAAAUGUGCAGAAAAAAUGCAUAUAUUAGUGAAAGUGACAUACCAAAAUUGCUUUGCAAAAAGGUGUACAUUAGGAGAAAUUUGUACUAAGAUGCUUGUGAAUUUUCACAAAGACCUCAACCUGAUGUAGAGAUGCAGAGGACUGAAUUUAAGACUGGAAAAGUGAGAAACCAAGAGAAACCCAAUGUUGUCAGAUUUGCCACACCCAGCCCUGAACCCCGUGGGACUUCCUAUUGAAUAAACCUGUGCUGCCUUGAACUUGUUGAUCAUUUAAAUGAAGGGCUGUGGCUCGGUGGCCGAGAACGUGCUCUGCAUGUUUUACAACUCCUCCAUUAGCUAAUUGAGAUAAACGUUCCAAAUCGUGGUCUGCCAGAGUGCUUAUACACGGUGCCAUUUGAGUAAGGAUUUCCAAGCGGUCUGUCUGCUGAGUGAAAGCGAGCAUUUUGCACGACAGCAGCCACUCUGUAAGCAAAUUAAAAUAAGCAUCCCGAAACGUGACCAAGCUGGAAUGCAAGGCCUCAUCUUCUUUGCAAGCUACUGUGUGCGAAACUGGAGUUCCUAGAUAUCGAAGGUCUGGAGAGCAGAUCUGAGCAAGACUGUAGCUCAUUCAUCCGGCGAGCAGAGACGGUGUAGAUUAGAAUCAGUGAUUUGGGGUUAUUUUAAGCACUAUGCAAAUCCUAUCAACAGUUGGUGUAG
rnacentral:lncRNA from 1 species